AAACGACUCUCGGCAACGGAUAUCUCGGCUCACGCAUCGAUGAAGAACGUAGCAAAAUGCGAUACUUGGUGUGAAUUGCAGAAUCCCGUGAACCAUCGAGUUUUUGAACGCAAGUUGCGCCCGAAGCCUUUCGGUCGAGGGCACGUCUGCCUGGGCGUCACGCAU
rnacentral:rRNA from 1 species